CUGAAGGAGCAGGCAAGAGAGCGCCAGGGGUUGUGCUCCAUCCUGUCGUUGCCACGUGGAUGCUGGCACCCUGACAGGACGAUGCUGUUCGUUCUUUGGGAUUGAAUCAGAAAUCCAGGAUGAGGACAUCAUUUGGAGGAAGUGGCAGGUAAAAUUGCAUGCUUUCUAGAAGCAUAGAUUUGGUUUGUUGCGUGUAGGAAGACUUUCUGGCUCAAUGUAGUAUGACAUUUGCAACCAUUUAAUUUGAAUAAAUUCCAUUUUUAUGUUCCAUCCGGCUUUUAAUAUGUCAGCCAAACCAUCCGUAAGGGACAGAAUGUAAAUCCUGC
ensembl:lncRNA